AGGAUGAACGCUGGCGGCGUGCCUAACACAUGCAAGUCGAACGUCCUGUCUCGCAAGAGGCAGGGAGUGGCGGACGGGUGAGUACCACGUGGGUCAUCUACCGUGAGGUGAGGAAUACCGGCGAGAAAUCGCCGACAAGACCGCAUAGGCUCGAUGCAAGUCGAGCAAAAGCUCUUUCGAGAGAGGGAGCGCCACACGAGGAGCCUGCGCCCGAUUAGCUAGCUGGUGGAGUAAUGGUUCACCAGGGCGACGAUCGGUAGCUGGUCUGAGAGGACGAUCAGCCACACUGGGAUUGAGAACGGCCCAGACUCCUACGGGGGGCAGCAGUGAGGAAUUUUCGUCAAUGGGGCAACCCUGAACGAGCAACGCCGCGUGCAGGAAGAAGGUUUCGGAUCGUAAACUGGCUUUCUCGGGAAGAGAACGGACGGUACCCGAGGAAUCAGCCCCGGCUAACUACGUGCCAGCAGCCGCGGU
rnacentral:rRNA from 1 species